CGCGUAGGCGGUCGCCUAAGUCGGACGUGAAAUCCCCAAGCUUAACUUGGGAACUGCGUCUGAUACUGGGUGACUUGAGUUCGGGAGAGGAAUGUGGAAUUCCAGGUGUAGCGGUGAAAUGCGUAGAUAUCUGGAGGAACACCGGUGGCGAAGGCGGCAUUCUGGACCGAAACUGACGCUGAGGCGCGAAAGCCAGGGGAGCAAACGGGAUUAGAUACCCCGGUAGUCCUGGCCCUAAACGAUGAGUGCUUGGUGUGGCGGGUAUCGAUCCCUGCCGUGCCGAAGCUAACGCAUUAAGCACUCCGCCUGGGGAGUACGGUCGCAAGGCUGAA
rnacentral:rRNA from 1 species